GACUGCUUACCAAAGUGGUUACUGGGUUGCCCUGCUACUAUAGGUUCUGUCAAGGCAAUGGUCUUUGACCGCGUGUGUUCGAAUCGCACAGUAGUCG